rnacentral:rRNA from 2 species
CUCAGUAACGGCGAGUGAAGCGGUAACAGCUCAAAUUUGAAAUCUGGCCUCACGGUCCGAGUUGUAAUUUGUAGAGGAUGCUUCGAGCAUGGUCUGGCCUAAGUUCCUUGGAACAGGACGUCAUAGAGGGUGAGAAUCCCGUAUGCGGCCAGGUGCCUACGCUCAUGUGAAGCUCCUUCGACGAGUCGAGUUGUUUGGGAAUGCAGCUCAAAAUGGGUGGUAAAUUUCAUCUAAAGCUAAAUAUUGGCCAGAGACCGAUAGCGCACAAGUAGAGUGAUCGAAAGAUGAAAAGCACUUUGGAAAGAGAGUUAAACAGUACGUGAAAUUGUUGAAAGGGAAGCGCUUGCAACCAGACUUGCGCGCGGCCGAUCAUCCGGUGUUCUCACCGGUGCACUCGGCCGUGCUCAGGCCAGCAUCGGUUUUGGCGGCUGGAUAAAGGCCCUAGGAAUGUAGCUCCUCUCGGGGAGUGUUAUAGCCUAGGGUGCAAUGCAGCCUGCUGGGACCGAGGACCGCGCUUCGGCUAGGAUGCUGGCGUAAUGGUUGUAAGCGGCCCGUCUUGAAACACGGACCAAGGAGUCUAACAUCUAUGCGAGUGUUUGGGUGUCAAACCCAUACGCGUAAUGAAAGUGAACGGAGGUGAGAACCCUUAAGGGUGCAUCAUCGACCGGUCCUGAAGUUUACGGAAGGAUCUGAGUAAGAGCAUAGCUGUUGGGAC